GACGAACGCUGGCGGCGUGCCUAAUGCAUGCAAGUCGAACGCUUUUUCUUUCACCGGAGCUUGCUCCACCGAAAGAAAAAGAGUGGCGAACGGGUGAGUAACACGUGGGUAACCUGCCCAUCAGAAGGGGAUAACACUUGGAAGCAGGUGCUAAUACCGUAUAACACUAUUUUCCGCAUGGAAGAAAGUUGAAAGGCGCUUUUGCGUCACUGAUGGAUGGACCCGCGGUGCAUUAGCUAGUUGGUGAGGUAACGGCUCACCAAGGCAACGAUGCAUAGCCGACCGGAGAGGGGGAGCGGCCACACUGGGACUGAGACACGGCCCAGACUCAUACGGGAGGCAGCAGUAGGGAAUCUUCGGCAAUGGACGAAAGUCUGACCGAGCAACGCCGCGUGAGUGAAGAAGGUUUUCGGAUCGUAAAACUCUGUUGUUAGAGAAGAACAAGGAUGAGAGUAGAACGUUCAUCCCUUGACGGUAUCUAACCAGAAAGCCACGGCUAACUACGUGCCAGCCGCCGCGGUAA
rnacentral:rRNA from 1 species